AGUGAACGCUGGCGGUAGGCCUAACACAUGCAAGUCGAACGGCAGCACAGUAAGAGCUUGCUCUUAUGGGUGGCGAGUGGCGGACGGGUGAGGAAUACAUCGGAAUCUACUUUUUCGUGGGGGAUAACGUAGGGAAACUUACGCUAAUACCGCAUACGACCUACGGGUGAAAGCAGGGGAUCUUCGGACCUUGCGCGAUUGAAUGAGCCGAUGUCGGAUUAGCUAGUUGGCGGGGUAAAGGCCCACCAAGGCGACGAUCCGUAGCCGGUCUGAGAGGAUGAUCAGCCACACUGGAACUGAGACACGGUCCAGACUCCUACGGGAGGCAGCAGUGGGGAAUAUUGGACAAUGGGCGCAAGCCUGAUCCAGCCAUACCGCGUGGGUGAAGAAGGCCUUCGGGUUGUAAAGCCCUUUUGUUGGGAAAGAAAAGCAGCAGGUUAAUACCCCGCUGUUCUGACGGUACCCAAAGAAUAAGCACCGGCUAACUUCGUG
rnacentral:rRNA from 1 species